UUCUUUUCUCCUCUUUUUUCUGCCAUUCACAUUACCCCCCCACUCAUUAUCUCCCCCCCCAACCCCGUCUGGGGUCACCUCGAAGGAGGACAGGGCUAACACUCUCUUUGUUCUGCACAUCGCGCACAAACCCCAUUCACUCUGCCGGGCAUGAGGGCAUGCGGGGUGGGGGAUAUGGAAAAGAGUGAGUGGCCCCCCUGCCCCUUUCCUCCUUAAGUGGGACUUGGAUGGAACUCCCUGGCUCAGUGGCACCCCGAGAAGUAGCAGGGACCCAGGCUGAGCCCGCCCUGCUCCCUUCUAGGGCUCACCCCCUCUCUCUCUGAGCGCUCCAGAGUGAGAGAUUGUGAGGAUGAGAAUGGAGGGGGAUGAGGUAGUGAGGAAGCUAAGAGAGGGACGGCCUUUCUCUACCCCCCUUCCCCACCCCCCACCCCAGAUGUGGCCAGUGGUAGUUCCACUGAAAGGAAGCGCAUUCCAGAGGGAACCGGCGCCAAAACCAGGAACCCCGUUCCCAGCCGGUCCAGGUUCCCCGGCCAUUCUCCAUGCAAAACAGACUCGGGACUCAUCUUCUGCACUGUUUUUCUUGUCCAGGAACAGGACUGUGUUUUUGUUUGAACAUUUUGUAACGAUUAAGAGAGAUUAGGUCUUUUCUCCCCUCCCCCUUCCGCUGUCAGCCUCAAACAGGCAUAAAGUGCGACCCCAAGUGGCCGCUUUGGGGAAAAGCCGUGGGGAGAAAAAAGUGCUGGAGAGGAUGGUAGCGGAAGGGACCAGGGCACCCUGCUGGCGAAAGGUACGGGCACCAAAACCCAGUUAGGAGGCUAAGAGUGGAGCCCGUCAGCCCACAGAGACGGCGUAGCCCACAGGCCCCGGCCCCCUCCGUUUUUUCCUAAAUGUCAUCAGAGAGUCCUUCCCAGAGCCAUCUGUCCAUGCGGCCCUCCACCUGAGCGAGCGCCGGCUACUUUUACUUUCCCACACUUUUGGGAUGUUUUGUUGCGAGCUGCUCAGGCUGAGAUACAGACCGCCCUCCAAUCCCCUUAAGAAAACCACUCAGCACCCCAGCUCUCCUUCAAGGACUCCUUCACAUCAAUACUCUUUGCCCAUUGCUUGGAGUUCUUGCCUCUUUUAACCUUUUUGCCUUAAUUGCUAAUCCGAUUUCCCCGCAGAAAAGUAGCCUCUCACUUCCAAAGGGGCCCACUACAGUCUAAGAGAGCUAGAGAAAGGCUUAGCCACGAGUAAACUCUCAGUUUUCAACCUGCUCACCCUACUGGCCCUCGGUACCCAGAUUCCCUCUUCUUUGCACACCUCGGCCUGAUUUAUUCAGGAGACUCCAGCGCCCUAGGCGCAAAGACUUGGGAGAAAUGCGCAAUUCCAUCCAGAGCCAAGGACCUGGGCGAGUUCACUCCCUCCAUCCCCGAGAAGUCUGUCAGCAGUCAACGAGUCCUGAGCAAACGUGUGCGUGUCAUACAAUGUGUCCGAAGCAGUAUGCACAAUGUGGACUGGACAAAUGCGUGUCAGACGAGCUCGGAGCGAGUGUGUCAUGUACACAAGGUGAAAAUAUGCGUCAGACAACCUGUACGGAGAGUGUGUAACAGGCCGAGUGUACAGAACGGGUGUGCAUCACAACGUGUAAAGGGCCAGAAUAUAUGUUUUGGGCAGCUGUUCAGCGCUAUUUCAUGAUUUAAUAUCAAGACAGUCACGGAACAAGAAUGCACAGUCCGCACUUUUUGCUUAAAGUAUUUUUCAAGCUCCUUUUUGAUCUAAUGGUUGGGCUUGCAGCAUCUCCAAUCUUAGAGCAAAGAUGGAAAGAGCAAGGAAGCUGAGGAUCCAAAGGAGAAGGGACUCAGAACAAAGCCUGCUUCCUUGCUGAGCACAGAGAUCUCCAUGCUUGGUGUACAACAUGUUCCAAGUGCCAAGGCAUGAACCACCUCUCCUCUUGCUUUGUACUGGAAGCCUCCCCUGUAGUGAUGCCCCUUGAGCACCUGAAGACUGGAGGGAGUUAAAGGAAGAGAGCUGCGUACUCAAAGCUAUAAUUCACCACAGAAGAAAGGCCAGAGCAUUGCUAUGGACUUCCAUCACUGGACAGGGAAUUCAUUUUGCUCUCCAAGUGCAAAUCAUCAGAGUUCACAUUUCUAUCAUGCUCUGAGGUUUGUAACCAACAUUUUCUUCAAAACAACUCUGUGAAGGUGACGGUGCAAGUAUUAUUAUUCCCAUUUUACAGAUGAAGAAACAAGACCUGAGAGAUAAACUGACUAUGUCAAAAACAGCCCCUGAAUGUAACAUAACACUUCAUUUUGCUACUUUAUAACAUAGGUACUAGUCAGGUGGUCAGUCAAUAAACAUUUAUUAAGUACUUACUCCAUGUCAGGCACAGUGCUAAGCCCUGGGGAUACAA